GACACUAAGGCACAAUGGAAAGCGUGUUGGACUUUUAAGCUUUGGUGCUCACUGUGACCCAGGUCACUCAUUCAAAGGUUGUGGGUUCAAAUCCCACCAGAUUCA
rnacentral:tRNA from 1 species